GACGAACGCUGGCGGCGUGCUUAACACAUGCAAGUCGAACGGAAAGGCCCUGCUUUUGUGGGGUGCUCGAGUGGCGAACGGGUGAGUAACACGUGAGUAACCUGCCCUUGACUUUGGGAUAACUUCAGGAAACUGGGGCUAAUACCGGAUAGGAGCUCCUGCUGCAUGGUGGGGGUUGGAAAGUUUCGGCGGUUGGGGAUGGACUCGCGGCUUAUCAGCUUGUUGGUGGGGUAGUGGCUUACCAAGGCUUUGACGGGUAGCCGGCCUGAGAGGGUGACCGGCCACAUUGGGACUGAGAUACGGCCCAGACUCCUACGGGAGGCAGCAGUGGGGAAUAUUGCACAAUGGGCGGAAGCCUGAUGCAGCAACGCCGCGUGCGGGAUGACGGCCUUCGGGUUAUAAACCGCUUUCGCCUGAGACGAAGCGUGAAUGACGGUAAUGGGUAAAGAAGCACCGGCUAACUACGUG
rnacentral:rRNA from 1 species